CAGCCAACGGUGUCACAGUGUAGUUAGUGACGUCACAGCCAACGGUGUCACAGUGUUGUUAGUGACGACACAGCCAACGGUGUCACAGUGUAGUUAGUGACGACACAGCCAACACAGAACUGAACCAGAACCAGCUCUCCUCUAACAGAACUGCAGUUGUCAAUAUGAGCAGAUUCAUUGUGAUGAAUUGUUCUGGACCUGUUCUGACCCAGUUGGCUCCAUGUUGGUUCUGGUGACGUGUCGAUGAGACUUUAAUUACAACAAACUGACAAACAUGUGUGAGAUUCCUGACCCAGUUCAGACAGGAUCAAGACUUUAUCAGAACAGAAUUAGGGGCGUGGCCUCUAUAAUGUAUGUUACAGAUAAUGACGUCAUCAUAAACAUCUCAUCGGACUCCUGUAACAUCCAGUUAAUAUUCAAAUGUUUAAAAGUGAUCGAUCUGAUCGGAACUAUGGUCAAACUAACCUCACGGCCUUUACGUGAUGACGUACAUGGUGACGUCAUGUCGGAAAAGUGAAGUGCGCAGUGUGUAGGAGCUAGCAGCUAACAGCUAGCAGCUAACCGCGGGGGAAAGUAAAAGCAGGUGAACGCGAGUGAAACUACACUGUGGACUUCGGAACCGACAUGAGCCCGUCACAGAGGUGUGCACAUGUUCUGCUGUUGAUGUUCUCCGUCUGCAGAAUGAGUCCAGUGAGCUGCCAGAACAAAGUCAACGCUUCUGUGGGAGAAACGGUCCUGCUGACCUGCAGCGUCAGCGAGGUCGGCCUGGCCCUGAAGGACGCCUCCGUCUACUGGACCGACAAGGACGACAACACCGUCCUGGACAUCAUCAAGAAUGAACCGGACCUUUCAUCACAGAGUGACAGAUAUAAAGACCGAGUGAGCAGCUUCCCCGACAGAUACCAAGCCGGAAACUUCUCCAUCCAGAUGAAGAAGGUCCAGCUGUCAGACAGCAGCCCGUACGACUGUAAGGUCCCACAGCUGGGCUUCAGGAACCGGGUCACACUCAACGUGUCAGCUAAACGUAAUGGACCAGGACCAGAACCAGGACCAGAACCAGGACCAGGACCGUCCGGUGGAGCUGUGGUAACACUGAACUCCAUCCACAUGACAGUGCUGUCUGUGACUGUGCUCAGCUGUUUUAUUUAACAAGAUGUGAGGCGACACAAACAAUAUAUUCCACAUUUAGAGCUGAGAAUAUAAUAAUCUUCAUAUUAAAUAUCAAGCAAUCAGUUAAUAUACUAACCAAGCAGCAUUUCAUCGUUCUCCUAAACAACUGAAGAACGACAGAAAAAACACCAACAUAAAUAAAAACAAAUAAGUACUCCAAAACUCAAAUAAAACUUUGCUGAAUCAGCUGUUAGCACGUCUCAUUAGCAGUGAACUCAUAGACGUUCAGGCGACCAUCACCGGAUCACUGCGAUGCUGAACAAAACUCAGAAACAUGAAGACUCUCAGGCAGGUUCUGAACAAGCCGCCUCUUUUUUUAGGAUUUUCUAAAAGCAGGAACGAUCGACCAGGUUUUUCUCUCGCUGUACUUCAUAGAUGACACUGCUAGCUUAGUGUUAGCCUGCAGCUAGCUUAGCAUUCGUCUGCGGCGUUACUUCCUGACUCGUCUCCUGUGUGAUGAAGACGAUCAGCUGACCGGGAUCAGCGUCGGACAUGUUGGUUUCUCUUCUUUGUCAGAGAUCCUUUAUUGAUGUGUUUGUGACGAGGGUUCACUCUGGACAGGUUUGAGAUUGUUUAUUUUUGCUGAAUAUUAUUUUAUCUUAUAAUAGCCUCCAGGAUAAAGUUGAGCUGUUGUUGUAAAACGUCUUUGUAAAGAAGUUUGUCAGGACUUAAAAGGAUCUGCACAUCUUUACUGAUCCUCGUGAGUCUCACAGUGACGGAGCUGAGAAGAAUCAGAUCGUUGAUUUAGAGAGUCGUGACACCUUUCGUCCCGAAGCAAGCAGACAUCAGCUAGAUUUCUUUUUAAAUACGUUAAACGUCAGUUUACUUGUUUUAUUGGCACUGUUGGCCCAAUUCUCCUGUUUGUUGGCUCGUUAGCGCCACCAGUGGUCAGAAACUCUGCAGAGUCCAUUUAAGCUUCAGAGACGUUAUAUGAAGACGACGACUGGAUGUCGGCACUUUAAUAUGUAAAAUCAUCUCAUCGAGUUUAUGGAGGAAUGAGACCGCCAGAAGUAAAGAAAGAACAGAAUGUAUGAAUCCAAAUGAAUCAAAGCAUUCAUUUAUAAAGGGACACAAACUGAUUUGUAUUUACACUGCACAAGUUUAAACCCUGAAUGAAUAACAAAAAAAAAUUAUAAAUAGUAUAUAAAAUUUAAAAAAUGAAAAAUUGAACCUGUAAAACUUACAGAAACACGGAAAGGACAUUUGUUUAUUUAUUUAUAUUUUUUGCUGCAUUCAUGCAUUUUUAUUUAUUGAAAAAUUAUCAUUUCAAUGCAAAAUAAUUUGGAUGGUGUCUUUGUGUCAGUCCUCCGUAUGUCUUUGGUUCUAAAUUGUUUAACUUUGUGAAAAUAUUAUUUAUAUUUAUUAGGUUCCUUAUGAAGGAUUAAAUAGUUCAUAAUGAGGUCGUUACAGUCGAGAUGACGAAGAUUUAAUUUGUUUAUAAAUCCUCAUUAAAAACCAAAGAACAUUUUUUUCAGGCGUGAAGACGUAAAACAUGUGAAACUUCAUCAGUACGGACAUCAACAUCAAAUACAGAACUCAUUAAUUAACAUCGUGAAAUAUUAAACUACACAGAAAAACAUUUUGUUCUAAUAAUCAUUAAUUGUCAGAGAAUUGUGUCUGAUGAAAAUAUGAAGCGUGCAGCUGUGUUGUUUCUCUAAUGAAUCAUUAGAUUAUUAUUGUUAUUUCUGUUCAGUGUUAAUAAGCUAUUACACGUAUUUUUAUUGGACACAAACAGUUCAUUGAUUAUUAGAACAGAUCACUGGUUGUUCUGUGGCAGGACUCAAAAAUAAAUCAAGUGUUUCUGUAACUUGAUUUGUUCCCUACAUUUAUUUUGAAUAUCACUUUUUGUACAUUUAAUAUAUUAAUUUAUAUAUAAUGAGUCAUUUUUUUUCAGUUUCAGUCCUCAUGUUUCAAGUCUUCAUGCUGAAGCUAAGCUAUGCUAAUGCUAACAGCUGAGGCAAUAAACUGCAGGUCACCUUUAUAUAAGCUUUGUUGUGUUGAUAUCAGGAAUGUUCUGGAUGCUGGCGACCUCUCUCUGUAUGUUGUUAAUAUUUAAAAUGUCCACUUCCUGUCAUGAAGGCUAACAGAUCUGUAUUCCCACUGAGACCAGUUGGAUUAUGGGAAAUGUAGGAGCUUCAGUCAUAUCUUUAUAGUUUGAAUGCUUUAUAUUUAUCUUCAGUAUUUAAGCUCUGUCUGUUCUGACAUUGUUUUAUGGAAUGUCAUUUUUAUUUAUCCAAACCCACAAAUCUGCUGUAAUGUACCAAUAAAAUCAGCGCAGGAGAAUUUAAGCCUUCGUUCAUGAAACUUUUUGUAAACGUGUACCAAACCAAACAUGUUUGUAUUUAUUAUUUAAACUCUGACAGAAUCCUCUGGAGAUCUUUGAAGCCCCUUCAUGAAUAAAUCAGCACGUUCAAAAACAACUGAAGGGAAGAAAAGUUUGUGAGUUUCAGCUGCAGUUUGUUGAGUUUGUAAUAAAAAGUUGAACAAACUUUUGUCUGAAGUCUUUGUACCACAACGUGGAUUCAAACUGCUACUGCGUGUUCUGUCACUGGUACCAGUUCUACAAACAGAACCACCAGUACUUCUGGUUCCUGUUUAAUCUGAUGACUGCGAACAUUCUGCAGGAAAUAAAAUACAAAUAAGACAUUAAAUACACACAUGUUGUCCAUGAUUCAGAACACGUUCAGAACCCGUCUCAACCCAAACCAGUGAGAGUCAGCGGGUCAGAACAGGCAGAGACUCACUGAACCACAUUCAGAACCCUGUUCACACUCAGGAACUGUUACUGAGAGACGGGCCGGACCAGAAUCACCAUCAGCAGCUCGGUAUGAGAUCAGCGUUAAAGGACUUGGAUCUGGAUCCACCCUGGAUUCUGGGCCACAUUCAGUCGGUUCUGGUCUUCAGGUGCAGAAGCUGCUGCAGGAAGAAUCGGAUCAGACAUUUCACAAUAAAAUACAUGCAGACUUGAUCCUGAAAGGAAAUGUGUCGUUAAAUCAGGCUUAUCAUUUUUACUGUUGUUGUUGUUGUUGACGACACAGUUCUCACAGCUUGAUGUGUCUGAGUUAAUGAAGCGGUUCCGUGUCAGUUAGUGGCUCCAUUCUGAUCUUUGAUGACAUUCUGGCAAACUUUAUAACAUAAAGUGUCAGAAGUCACAUCUUACAUUAUGUCCUACACAGUUUAUAGAGGAGAUAUAUUUAACCGAUACAUUUUAGGUAAACGAGAAUAAACGUCUUUACUUCCGGUGGCUUACGUGCUAACGUGUUGUAGCGCGUGUUAGCAUCACAUCCGGAGUCUGAACUUGUUUCAGCCCGGACUCAUCUCCUGUGAGCACACGCUGUACCGGAAGCAGACGGAGCCGGAAGUCGUCGGAGCACUUUCGACAGACACCAGCUGAGCUGUUGACGGAGGCGAAGUGUCCAGAUGUGCAGACAGCUGUGCGGACAGACUCUGAGCCGAACAUGUGGAGGAUCUGCUGCUGUAGUACGGAGCUAACGAAGCUAACAGAGCUAACGGAGCUAACGGAGCCUGUCAGCAGGAAGCAGACG
ensembl:lncRNA